UCUUUGGAUACAGCAGAGGAGCAGAACGUCUUGGAGAAAAUUCCUGUUUGCGCUUUUUUGUUUUUAACAGCGUUCCAGCCUAGACUGAGGGGAUGAGGUCUUGUCUUCUGCUUUGUGUCCUGUGCCUGAUGGUUGCUAAAGGCCUUUCCACGCCACCAUGUGUGUGUAAUGAUGGACCUCCAGGAUCACCUGGACCUAGUGGACCACCUGGAGCC